AUAACAAUCGAGACUAAAUUAUGAAAUUAAUAUUUUCGUAAAAUAAAUUUUUGUGUUCUUUAGCACUCCUCUAUUUUGCAUUCAUCAAAUUAUUUCCAAAAAUUUUAUUCCAAAAAUUUUUGUUCCAAAAUGUAUACGGAAGUAUGGCGUAAGCCCAUACAAAAGCGAAAAUUUUAUUUCAGUGGAAGACUUUACCACUAACAACCAAAAUAAGAUACUAUUGUGUGCCACUCUUAAAGUAUCUUCUAGGACCACUACUCAUAAUAAUAGGAAUUUUGGUUAUCACAUUAUGUUUGCUUAUAACUUAUUUUAUCUAUCGGGCCUUUCUCAACGGCACAAAGAACUUAGCGUCUAUGAUCUCUGAUUUAAUCUCUGAUGGCAAUUGGGGAUUUUUAAAAAAUUGGGCUGAAAAAAUUAAAACCAAUAUUAAUUUUGAAUAUUUGAAUGGAAAAUAUGAAGCUCUUGUAUCCAUAGUAAUUGAUCAUGUUUUACAAAUAUAUGGAAGCCUGAAUGAAGCCAUGCAGAUGUUCUUUGUUGAUAUUGGCGGAGCUUAGAAGUUUCUAAAAACUCGCAUUGACAACUCUGUCAACUUUAUCAAAUAAUUCGACAUUGUAGUGCUGAGCUUAUAAUAAAUGAAUGCAAAAAAGAAAUGUUCUAAAUAUAA